rnacentral:rRNA from 1 species
AAAGGAAUUGACGGGGGCCCGCACAAGCAGCGGAGCAUGUGGUUUAAUUCGAAGCAACGCGAAGAACCUUACCAGGACUUGACAUCAUCUGAAAAUCGUAGAGAUACGACUUUCCCUUCGGGGACAGAUAGACAGGUGGUGCAUGGUUGUCGUCAGCUCGUGUCGUGAGAUGUUGGGUUAAGUCCCGCAACGAGCGCAACCCCUGUAUUUAGUUGCCAUCAGGUAAUGCUGGGCACUCUAGAUAAACUGCCGUAGAUAAUACGGAGGAAGGUGGGGAUGACGUCAAAUCAUCAUGCCCCUUAUGUCCUGGGCUACACACGUGCUACAAUGGUCUGUACAAAGGGUAGCUAAGCCGCAAGGUGGAGCCAAUCCUCUAAAGCAGAUCCCAGUUCGGAUUGCAGGCUGCAACUCGCCUGCAUGAAGUCGGAGUUGCUAGUAAUCGCGGAUCAGCAUGCCGCGGUGAAUGCGUUCCCGGGCCUUGUACACACCGCCCGU